AAAGCGAUCGGGGAAACUAAAGAAAACGGAGAAAAACAAAAUACAAACCGGAAUAAAAACAAAACGCUGGGAAACCCUGAAAAUAAAAGGCGUUCUGAUGGAAACCUGUUUACCCGCCGAGGUUAAGGAUUAAAGUCGAGACUGCCAUGACAACUAUGCUGCUCCUGCCGGAUGUGACUGGUCUGGAGUAAUUGCACCAAGAAUGACAAGAAAUCACUACAGACAUUAUUGAAGACUACAGCGAAGAACAACUCUAUUAUUAUUUAUCUAUUUAUUACCAGUUAUAACUUUUAGAUCAUUUAAUUCUGUGUUCGUAUGCUCUGUGUAAAUCGUGUAUUUAUUUAAAGUAUCCUCCUGGCCACCCAAGAAGGAUGGGCCCUGCUGAGUCUGGUUCCUCUCAAGGUUUCUUCCUGUAAUUUUCAGGGAGUUUUCCUUGCCACAGUCGCCCUCGGCUUGCUCAACAGGGAUUUUUUGUAUCUGUUGGUCCUGGAUUUUGUAAAGUUGCUUUGAGACAAUGUCUACUGUAUUGUAAAAAGCGCUAAAUAAAUAAAGUUGACUAGAUCUGA